rnacentral:rRNA from 1 species
UACGGAGGGUGCAAGCGUUAUCCGGAUUUAUUGGGUUUGAAGGGUCCGUAGGCGGAUCUGUAGGUCAGUGGUGAAAUCUCAUAGCUCAACUAUGAAACUGCCAUUGAUACUGCAGGUCUUGAGUAAGGUAGAAGUAGCUGGAAUAAGUAGUGUAGCGGUGAAAUGCAUAGAUAUUACUUAGAACACCAAUUGCGAAGGCAGGUUACUAUGUCUUAACUGACGCUGAUGGACGAAAGCGUGGGGAGUGAACAGG